UACCUUUAAUAUUGUUCUUAUUCUACCAUCUUUCCUAUUUACACCUAUCUAUCUAUCCUGGUUAAGUUAGAGCAUAGUUGGUUCUCCCGUUUCCCUGUGGAUACGAUAAAACCUUUAACCGGGUAAAAGCUACAACAGUAUCCGUGCGCUUGUGGAUUUAUCUGUGUGCGUAUAAAUACCAUAGUACACUCUAGUGCCAUGUUGGGGAUGACAACCUAGUAUUCAAGUGGUGUUAGCAAGUGUCAACAGCAUACCGCACC
rnacentral:lncRNA from 1 species